rnacentral:rRNA from 1 species
AGUGAACGCUGGCGGUAGGCCUAACACAUGCAAGUCGAACGGCAGCACAGGAGAGCUUGCUCUCUGGGUGGCGAGUGGCGGACGGGUGAGGAAUACAUCGGAAUCUACUUUUUCGUGGGGGAUAACGUAGGGAAACUUACGCUAAUACCGCAUACGACCUACGGGUGAAAGCAGGGGACCUUCGGGCCUUGCGCGAUUGAAUGAGCCGAUGCCGGAUUAGCUGGUUGGCGGGGUAAAGGCCCACCAAGGCGACGAUCCGUAGCUGGUCUGAGAGGAUGAUCAGCCACACUGGAACUGAGACACGGUCCAGACUCCUACGGGAGGCAGCAGUGGGGAAUAUUGGACAAUGGGCGCAAGCCUGAUCCAGCCAUACCGCGUGGGUGAAGAAGGCCUUCGGGUUGUAAAGCCCUUUUGUUGGGAAAGAAAUCCAGCUGGCUAAUACCCGGUUGGGAUGACGGUACCCAAAGAAUAAGCACCGGCUAACUUCGUGCCAGCAGCAGCCGCAG